GAUGAAGAACGCAGCGAAAUGCGAUACGUAAUGUGAAUUGCAGAAUUCAGUGAAUCAUCGAGUCUUUGAACGCACAUUGCGCCCCCUGGUAUUCCGGGGGGCAUGCCUGUCCGAGCGUCAUUGCUGCCCUCAAGCACGGCUUGUGUGUUGGGCCUCCGUCCUCCUCCCGGGGGACGGGCCCGAAAGGCAGCGGCGGCACCGCGUCCGGUCCUCGAGCGUAUGGGGCUUUGUCACCCGCUCUGUAGGCCCGGCCGGCGCUUGCCGAUCAACCCAAAUUUUUAUCCAGGUUGACCUCGGAUCAGGUAGGGAUACCCGCUGAACUUAAGCAUAUCAAUAAGCGGAGGA
rnacentral:misc_RNA from 1 species